GACGAACGCUGGCGGCGCGCUUAACACAUGCAAGUCGAACGGAGAAUUUUAUUUCGGUAGAAUUCUUAGUGGCGAACGGGUGAGUAACGCGUAGACAACCUGCCUCUUAGAUGGGGACAACAUCGCGAAAGCGGUGCUAAUACCGAAUGAAGUGGAGCUUCCGCAUGGAAGCAUCACCAAAGGUGGCCUCUAUUUAUAAGCUACCACUGAGAGAUGGGUCUGCGUCUGAUUAGCUAGUUGGCGGGGUAAUGGCCCACCAAGGCGACGAUCAGUAGUCGGUCGGAGAGGAGGAGCGGCCACAUUGGGACUGAGGCGCGGCCCAAACUCCUACGGGAGGCAGCAGUGGGGAAUCUUCCGCAAUGGACGAAGGUCUGACGGAGCAACGCCGCGUGAGUGAAGAAGGUUUUCGGGUCGUAAAGCUCUGUUGUUUGAGACGAAUGUGCAGACUUUGAAUAAGGGUUUGUAAUGACGGUAUUAAACGAGAAAGCCACGGCUAACUACGUGCCAGCCGCCGCCGUAA
rnacentral:rRNA from 1 species